rnacentral:rRNA from 2 species
AACGUAGGUACCGAGCGUUAUCCGGAUUUACUGGGCGUAAAGCGUGUUCAGGCGGCCUGGCAAGUCGGGCAUGAAAUCUCUCGGCUCAACCGAGAGAGGCUGUCCGAUACUGCUGGGCUUGAGGACGGUAGAGGGUGGUGGAAUUCCGCGUGUAGUGGUGAAAUGCGUAGAUAUGCGGAGGAACACCAGUGGCGAAGGCGGCCACCUGGACCGUCCCUGACGCUCAAACACGAAAGCUAGGGUAGCGAACGGG